ACUCAAAUGAAUUGACGGGGACCCGCACAAGCAGUGGAGCGCCUGGUUUAAUUCGAUGUUUAGCGAAAAACCUCACCUAGGCUUGAACUGUAGCUGUAUUUGGUAGAAAUAUCAAAGCUUCGAGAUCGCUACAGAGGUGCUGCAUGGCUGUCGUCAGCUCGUGUCGUGAGAUGUAGGGUUAAGUCCCGCAACGAGCGCAACCCCUUUCCAGUGUUAUAAUUUCUCUGGAUACUGCCUUGCCAAAACGAGGAGGAAGGAGGGGAUGACGUCCAGUCAUCAUGUCCCUUAUGUCUAGGGCUACACAGACGCUACAAUGGUCGGUACAAUGGGUUGCCAAACCGCGAGGUGGAGCUAAUCCCAUCAAAGCCGGCCCCAGUUCAGAUUGUAGGCUGCAACUCGCCUACAUGAAGUCGGAAUUGCUAGUAAUCGCGUAUCAGCAUGACGCGGUGAAUACGUUCUCGGGUCUUGUACACACCGCCCGU
rnacentral:rRNA from 1 species